UUGAUCCUCUCGGAGGUUCGUACGUCCUGGUCGUCGAGACGGUCGAGGAUGGUUUGCAUCAGGCCGUCAAGGUGAGUUCCACCAUGGGCAGUAGCCGCGGUGGCCGGAGCGAUGCGUACUGGACUGGUGUUUCUCGGGGCGGCAUGCACAUGAUCGGUUUGCCGGGCCGGGGGUAUCUGUCUUGGAUUGGCAGCUUCCACCUCGACAGUCGCUGGCUCGGCACGGCGGUGCGGCAGUCUUUGGCCCGGCUCGGCGUUCUCCGUUUCAGCAGUUUCCGGCUCGGCACGUUCUGGAUCGACAUUCGUGGGCGCGGCGCCUGCUGUCGUUGCUCCAGUGAGGUGUGGUAGCAUAUUCGUUCGGGCUCUUCUGCGUCCCCACAGGUGCCGCUCCGGAGACAGAACGGGCGCGUCGGGAU
rnacentral:lncRNA from 1 species